CAGUAGCCACGGUAAUACGAAGGGUGCAAGCGUUAAUCGGAAUUACUGGGCGUAAAGCGUGCGUAGGCGGUUUGUUAAGUCUGUUGUGAAAUCCCCGGGCUCAACCUGGGAAUGGCAAUGGAUACUGGGUCACUAGAGUGUGGUAGAGGAUAGUGGAAUUUCCGGUGUAGCAGUGAAAUGCGUAGAGAUCGGAAGGAACAUCUGUGGCGAAGGCGACUAUCUGGGCCAACACUGACACUGAGGCACGAAAGCGUGGGGAGCAAACAGGAUUAGAUACCCCAGUAGUCCCUGUCUCUUAUAA
rnacentral:rRNA from 1 species